AUCCCUGCUGUCGUGGUUCUGGCUGUGGUGCUUUAUCUUCUGGGAAAGAAAGGAGGAAAUGUGUCCAUGUAUCCGAUCACAUUGUCUAACUGCCUUCCAGUUGCGUCUCUACUGCGGGAUCAAAAGGAACAAGCCCAGCGUGACACCAGCAACACUUCUGAAGAUUAUAUUGAAUGUGCCUCGGUGGAUUGGCUGGGAAGCUCCAAGCAACCACCACCCCAGACAGAAGAGACGUCGACAUACAUGAACAUGGAUCUGCAGCGGGACAGAUGUCAUUAAUGCUCCAAUUGCUGUAAUGCAGAACUUGUCAAUGCGCAGCCACAUCACAGAACCUCCCAAAAUCAGAGGCAACUGUAGCCCAGGCUGUACAUCAAGGACAUGGGGGACUUUCUCUGGAGUCACAGCUGGACCUUGCACAGUGACCUGAA